rnacentral:lncRNA from 1 species
AAAGGAUUAUUAUUAUUCUUUCUGUUAGAUGAGGAACUUCAGGAUCAAAGAGGUUAAAUAAUUUCCCCAAGUUGAUAGGUAGCAAAUACAGGACAAUUUAAAAAAUGCAUGCAAAAUCUGUGUUCCACAUAUGAGGGAAAAUGUGAUAUUUGUGUUCCUGGGUUUGGGUGAUUUCUGUAAUAUAACUUCCAGUUCUACCCAUUUCCCUGCAGAUGAUGUGAUUUGUUCUUCAAAGACAGGAUCUGAAUCAAGAUAAUGAUUUUAGAAAGUCAGAACCCAUACAAGAAUAAGCCUACAUUUCAGCUGAAUGUUUAUCAGAAGCCACUAAGCAAUUUCAGCAGGAUUACUGAAGAAAAGAAAAUCCGAAAGUAUGAUGUUAUGCAUUUGGAAGAGUAAAGAUUCUCCAGAAGAAAGUAUUCUCAUAUUCAUUUGGUGAGUGUUCCAAUUGAAGGAGCUAUGGCUUCAGUAGGCUUGUCACUUUCCCUGAGGAUUGGCUUCCUGGUAGAACUUGAGCUAUCAUGCUAGAUCUCACUGCUAGGGACUAGGACAAAGAGACUUUAGAAACUAAAUCUUUGGCCAAAUUGAGAUAACAAUCAUAAGAAUUUAGAGAUGUCUUCAAAGAAGAAUUAUAAAUAUUCAAAAAGUAUCUGAAGUACUAUCAUCAGUCACCAGGGAAAUAAUAAUCAAAAUUACAUGAAGUAUUAUCUGACUCCAGUCAGAACGGCUACUAUCAAAAAGCCAGAAUGUAAGUGCUGGCAAAGAUGUGGAUAAAAAGGAAUCCUUACAUAUUGUGGAUGGGAAUAUCAGUCAAUAGGUCCAUUUUGGAAAGAAGUAGGUAGAAUGAACUAGAAGUAAACUUAACAUGUGAUCAAGUUGUCCCACUCCUGUCUGUUCAAAGGAAAUGAAGGCAGAACUCAAAAGACAAGCCUGCAUGUCAUUUUUGUGGUGCUGAUGGAAUCCCCAUGGCUGCCUGUCAACA